CCAGCAACUCAGGUCCAAACAGUCAUUUACAACCAGACACCAGUGGCAGGAGUUCAAACAGUUCUGGAACUGAGAGUGAUGAUAGCUAUGACUGGAAACAGACCAGAGAACUUCAGCCAUGUUUUAGCUCUCAAAAAAGUGCCAAUAUUGUUAGUUCAGGCAAUUGCAACAUUGCUAAGAAACCAGUUAAUUGCUUGAAACAUGUAAAAGCAUCUGGUCACAUUAACAACUCAGUGGAACACAAAGGGAGGCAAGCAAGCAAAAAAUCAUUUGGCUGUCCUGAUGGGGGUAAAAGACAGAAACAGAAGAGCACUCUGAACAAACACAGGACAGUUCAUACUGGACAAAAACAGUUUAGCUGUUGUGAAUGUGGUCGAACAUUUAGACGAAAGGGCAACCUGAACACACACAUGAUAGUUCAUACAAAACAAAAACAUUUGGCUGUUCUGAAUGUGAUCAAAAAUUUGCACAAAAGAGCUACCUCAAUAGACACAUGAUAAUUCAUACAGGAGAAAAACAGUUUGGCUGCUCUGAAUGUGGUCAGAAAUUUGCACGAAAGAGCUACCUUAACAGACACAUGAUAAUUCAUACAGGAGAAAAACAAUUUGGCUGUUCUGAAUGUGGU